rnacentral:rRNA from 1 species
CCUACGGGCGGCAGCAGUGAGGAAUAUUGGUCAAUGGGCGCGAGCCUGAACCAGCCAAGUCGCGUGAGGGAGGACGGCCCUACGGGUUGUAAACCUCUUUUGCCGGGGAGCAACGGGCGUCACGUGUGGCGCCACUGAGAGUACCCGGAGAAAAAGCAUCGGCUAACUCCGUGCCAGCAGCCGCGGUAAUACGGAGGAUGCGAGCGUUAUCCGGAUUUAUUGGGUUUAAAGGGUGCGUAGGCGGAUCGUUAAGUCAGUGGUCAAAUUGAGGGGCUCAACCCCUUCCCGCCAUUGAAACUGGCGUUCUUGAGUGGAAGAGAAGUACGCGGAAUGCGCGGUGUAGCGGUGAAAUGCAUAGAUAUCGCGCAGAACUCCGAUUGCGAAGGCAGCGUACCGGCGCCAGACUGACGCUGAGGCACGAAAGCGUGGGGAUCGAACAGGAUUAGAUACCCGUGUAGUC